CUCUUCCUGUCGAUCUCUCCCUCCUCUCUCUCUUCCUGUCGAUCUCUCUCUCUCCUCUCUCUCUUCAUGGUGAAAAUCUGGUGACUCGCCUGAUGGAAAAGGUGGAUUUGAAGCUCGGGUUAAAUCAGAUUCACACAGUGUUACUAUGACACUUCCAAGGCAACAUAUGAGCUCAUUCAAAAGAUACUACUUACAGGACUGGAGCCUGGAGCAGUUGAUGUGUUUCUUGAUUUCAUUUACUACUCAGGUGGUCCUCUACCUGACGAACUGCUCACCCAAGUUAAGGGAAUUCAUGUUUCAGAGGACUUUGUUGCCGAGCAAUUGAGGUCCAUGAUUUCUGAUAUGUAGGUUGAUGUGGUCACUCAGGUUGGCAGCUGGUAUACAGGAAGUCAAAGUUGAAAUGAAAAUGAUGCCCAUCCCAAGCAUUACAACAAAUAUGAUGUUGAACUGUGGUGCUAAUUAUUUCU